GCCACCUAGACCACCGAACUCCACCAUCAGUCAAACCUCCUCACCUCCCCCCAGUGGCGGCGCCACACUUGGGCACUUCAAAAACAGUGGACCACUUGAAUUUUUUGCACAAGCAAUCUAAUUGCACCCAUAAAUUAAUCAACUUCUGGGCGAAAUUCGGGUUGACCCAUGGCUGCACAAGGUGCACUAGGUGAAGAGGAGUUCAACCCAUGUGGUCCGCGACCAUGGGUCGAUCGGACAGCGUCGGAAUCUACAAAAAUCGGAUUCUGCUGGACAGGCUUCGCGACGCCCAAAAUUUCUAGGUUAAAUUUAGAUUUUUGAAUUGUUGUUUGUGUUAAAUUGGGACCAUGGUUCGGGUCAGUUUGUGGUGAGCAAUCGACCGAUGGUGAGCUCCGAUCAAGUUGGUGGCUGGAGGUGGAGUUUCUGGCAAUUUUCAAAGGUCCAAACAGCCUACUUUGUGGAUUGAUUCCUGCCAAAUCAAGUUGAGUUAUGGGGAGAUGUUGGUUAAGAAUUGAAGAGGAGGUUAAGGGCUUUCCGAUGGUCUUGGUGGCCAAAAAUUGCCAAAAAUUUGAUCCAUGAUGGCAGUGGGUGAAGGGUUGAUUUGGUGGUGGAGAUGGUUUUCGAAACAGGCUUGGGGUUUGGCCGACUGUAAACGCGUUUUCGAC
rnacentral:lncRNA from 1 species